UACGUAGGGCGCAAGCGUUAUCCGGAAUUACUGGGCGUAAAGCGCACGUAGGCGGAUCGAUCAGUCAGGGGUGAAAUCCCAGGGCUCAACCCUGGAACUGCCUUUGAUACUGUCGAUCUGGAGUAUGGAAGAGGUGAGUGGAAUUCCGAGUGUAGAGGUGAAAUUCGUAGAUAUUCGGAGGAACACCAGUGGCGAAGGCGGCUCACUGGUCCAUUACUGACGCUGAGGUGCGAAAGCGUGGGGAGCAAACAGGG
rnacentral:rRNA from 1 species